GUCGUUACUGUGGCAACGGUUGAGCCUUAUCUUAUGUAGCUAGUUUGUCAACUUUGUGGAGACAUAGCGAGAUUAAUGCCGAAAACAAUCUCCGACACGCUAUGGGAGCUGGCUGCAGCCGAGGUCCGAGACAGAGAGAGCGGAGGCGGCGAGGAGGACAGAGGAGAGACGGUCAGCGAGAGGACCGUGUUCGUGAUUGGGAGCAAGUCUGGGGGUAAAACGUCCAUUCUGCUCAGGUGCCUGGACAGGGAUGAACAAUCCAAACCAACUCUGGCACUGGAGUACACUUUCGGCAGACGGGCUCGAGGACACAGCUCACCCAAAGACAUAGCCCACCUAUGGGAGCUGGCAGGUGGGACCUCUUUGUCAGACCUGGUUCAAAUCCCCAUUACUCCUGUCAGCCUCAGGUCUCUCUCUGUUAUUCUUGUCUUGGACCUUUCUAAACCCAAUGCCCUGUGGGGAACCAUGGAAAAGUUGCUGCAGGCAGCACAAGCUCACUUAGAGAAAGUCUCUACACAGGCUCAACAAGCAGAGAAAGGCAAAGCUGGAGCCAAACACCAGACAUCUGUCCACUCAGCAGCACGUGUCUUACCUAAAGACUAUCCUGACCGAGAGCUGAUCAGCCCCUUUCCUGUUCCUCUGCUCAUCAUUGGCAGCAAAUAUGACCUCUUCCAGGAAUUUGACUCUGAGAAGAGGAAAGUGGUCAGUAAAACACUGCGUUUUGUUGCUCACUACUAUGCAGCCUCUGUUAUUUUCACCAGCAUCAAGUCAGAGAGCCUAAUGUCAAAGACCAAGAGUUUCUUCUCCCACCUGGCUUUUGGCCAGGACAAGGGGAAAACUGUGUCCAGUGACUCCUCCAAGCCUCUCAUCAUUCCAGCAGGUUCUGACUCCUUCAGUCAAAUAGGUACUCCUCCUUCUCCUGAUGUGGAUAUCACUUCGCUUCAUGCAAAAAACCCAAUGGAUCUCUGGAAGAAAGUCUAUGAACGUGUCUUCCCUCAAGAGAGUAUCAGUGAGCAGAGGGAACUCAAGGAUCCAGCCAAAGACCCACAGUACAGCGAGCCUCAGAUUGAUGCCAUGAGAGCCCAGAAAGACCAGGAGUUGGAGCAGUAUAAGAGAAAUGCAGCCAAGUCAUGGAAAGGACUGGAGCUGGACACCUGAGAUUAUCAGCUUUAUGGUCUCACAAACAUACACACACACACACACACCACAAAUCAAUGUUCAUAUGCAUUUGACAUUAAUUGUUCACUAGUAUGUCAAAGUCGUAUUUGAUUAAAAAAAUCAUUCAAAUUGUACAUUAUUAGAGAGAAGUCUUUCUUCAAGGUUUGGAAUGCUAAAAAUCUUCUUGUACAGUGCACUGAGGAUAAAAUGUGUAAAAUAAACACUUUCAUAUUGUUACAGUAGGUAUGACUUUCUUUUAAUGAUGCGUUACAGUCAAAAUAUAGGUUGGGCAAAGUAAUACAUGAGUGACAUGUAAAUAAUCAUGUACAUAAUACUACAAAGUCAUUCAGUUGUUUUCAAUUAAAUUGGUUAUAUAUCAUUUUAAGUUGAAUGUACUUUUAUGUAUCAUUUUGUUGUGUUAUGUUUUGCCAUCAUUUAAUUUAAACUAAACAAUAAUUUUCAAAUCGAAAUGUUAAAAACAAUACACUUAUUAAAUCAGAAAGACUGCAAAUUGGUUAUUCUACUUUUGACAGUUCUGUCUUUAAUGCAAAUUUAAAAAAACAAAAAAAAAACCCUCACACGUUGGAAAUCGUUCAUAAGUUUACUAUAUUGAUGGUGAAAUGUGGUAAUGCUCAAUUACAUUUUAAAUAUAUUACAUAGUGAAUACUGAACUGAACCUUGACUGAAAAAUAAAUCGCAAAUAAUAUACAGUAUCCUGUAUAGUAGAUACUAAAUUGUUUUUAAACAUUAAGGUAUAAUCUCUCUAGUUUAAGAGGAAAUAGUUGAGUGCAAACACAAUAACACGUUGUAAUAGACGGUGCCACAGCACUUUACUAUAUACAGUACAUCAUUAUGUGUGAAUAACGUCAUACUGAAUAUCAGAUUUAGAUCAUCUGAACCCAACUCGGUUAUUCUCUGAUGUUCUAAUGGCGUACAAGCUUGUCUCUGAUCUUGAAGCUGAUCAUGCCGAGCAGCAGGAGAACAGGGAGGAAGGAGUAGAGGAGAAGAAAGUCUUGUGUGUAUCGGGACAGAGCGCCGGGAUAGCCUUCAUCAAUGAUCUGAUUGCCGCUGUUGGGACAAACAGGCUGCCUUCAUGGUAUAGACAACUUACUGCACGUGAGCUCGAGUCCAUGGAACUCGGUGACGAUGAGAAGCUCACAGCUGUACUUCUGGAAAGUCAAGUAGCUGAGCCACUGGAAAACCUGCGGCAUCUGCUGUGUGCUUCUGUUGAAAGGAAGGAAUCCAGAUCCCACCAAGAUCCCUGCAAUAUUGAGCAGAGCCACACCAGUGUUGACCAUGUAAGGGUCUUGGACCACACCUAAGAGCACCACAGUCAGCAACUCACCUGAAGAAAAGAGCAUCAAUGCUGCAGGCGACUGGACCUGCUUGAGUUGAGUUGAAGACAUCUCUCCCAAGAGGCUUCUUCAGUUCAUGUGCAAAUGUGCACGGUACAAACACCAGCUCUCCACGACUCAUGAUUGCGAUCCUGCUGAACACCUGUGCGCACAAACAUGGACACAAACGCACAGAACAAAGUUUAUUUCCUCAUUCCUGAACACCCACCUUGAAGAGCUCGGAGCGCGGUUGGUGGAUCGUUACUAUGACGAUACGGUUCCUCUGGGCCAGCUGUGCCAGGAGCACCACAAUCUGAUUGGCUGUCAUGCUGUCCAGGCCGGUG